rnacentral:tmRNA from 1 species
GGGGAUGCUUGGCAUCGACGGUUGGUCGUGCUGAUUGUGUGCAGUGUCGAAACUGGUAAUCAAUUCGUUAAGAGGUUCCAAUUUGUAUUUGCAAAAAAAGCAAUACUAAGUCCUUACGCUAACGCGUUCGGACUCGCUCCCGCAUUCGCGUAAUUACGCCUGCCGGACGAUGCUUCAUCAGUAAACGUCUCAUACGCUGACUGAGGUAGAAUAGACACGAGACUUUGGCUACCUUUGCCGUUGUCGUAGGUAACUAAGAAUUAAACAACUCGAGUCAUUUGUGUUUUGUUUGUUCUCAAGCAAAUGACUUUAAACUCAAAGAACUAACUACGCACUGUAGACUCACAAUCACACCCUAAUUCGGACGGGGGUUCGAUUCCCCCCAUCUCCACAC